CCACUUGAUAACCAGCCUUUCCUAGUCUGUUGCUAUCUGCAUGAAUUUCUGUUCCAUAGGCUGGAGGGAAAGGCAGAAAGGAAGUAAGUGGUAUUUCUUAUGUUGAUAAUGUCAACCAUCCAAUUUGAAAGCCACUAAGCCGAGAAAGCAACAGCUUGACUUUAUAGAGUGUUAAGUGAAGCCCAGGGGCAUGAAACCACUCACUGUGGUCACAGAAAUGGUGUGAGCCCUGCUGGAACUGAGCCUGAGCCUCUUAUCAAAGGCCGGACCUCUGGCCACAGGCGGGGCCUUCUCUUGGCUACAAUGGUGUUGGCUGAGGCUUUCUUCAGGGUCUCGAUACUUCAUCAGGGUGGGAGGGGCAAAAGACCAGGGCCCAGAUGCAGUGCAGGUCCCACUCACCCUUAUGUUGGCCUACCAGAAGGUUCUAGAUGGCUGUGUCUACUUGCCACUGAAAGGGUGGGGAGAUCACUGGUGUGACACUGGACAGCAGAUUUGGGGUGAUAGUAAGAUGAUUGUUCUGAAGAAGUUCUGUUCGUAGGACUUUGCAAAUAGAAAAGGAGCAAUUGAUGACCCAGGACAGGGACAAGAGUCAGGGGUGUUUGCUGAAGAUAAAGAGGAACCCUGGGCAUAGGAGUCCCCCUGGGCAAGUUUCAGUAAAGAAGGAGACAAAUCCUGAGGGAUGUGGACAGUGGAUAUCCCUGAACUCAGCAUCACCAGGGGCUGUGCCAAAGGGCUCAGUCUGGGUUUCUGGCCAUCCAUCUCUGCAAACCUCGCUGCCCCUCUGGCCCUCCCCAGGUAUAUAAUGCUGUGCUGUAUGUUCUCAGGAAGUAUCAAGCACUCUGGGCCCAGACCAGUUCUUCCAAGAGAAUGCCAGGGUCCAUCUGGUCCAAUGUGGUCCCCGUGGCAUCUUUGGCUUUGUCAUCUCCAGAGUGGACAUGCUUGACUCUUUCCUUCUUGAACCACCUGCACCCAGCCCCUGGCUACAAAGGUAUCAUCGGACUACAGGCCUGGAGUACUCAGUCCCUCAGGACCCUGGCAUCCAUCUCCAUAUUCCAAACCCAGUGGUCUGCCUGGAAGAAGGGGACGUGAUUCUUUUCCAGCUUCACAUUCUUCCUCACAAUCGCUCAGCCAGUCACUACCCUGUGUACCAGAUGCAGCAUUUGUUCAACAGCAACCCCAACUGGGACUUUGGGGCCUUCAGGAGACUCAGCCACCUCGUGCGAGAGACUCACCUCAACUUUUCAAGGUUUGCCCACCAGUUCCUAGAUCCAGGCACAUAUGUGUUUCGAGACAACAGACUGCCUGAGAGCAUCAUUGUGGUGCUGGUGAAGAAGAAAGGAGUGGCCUGCGAUCCCGGCCUAUCCCCUGUGCAGCCCUCCUCCCCGUAUCAGCUUGUCAGGCAUGGGGUCCUCAGGCACGAGCUGCUAAACCUGGGCCCAGACUGGACAGUGAUCACAGGAGAACCACUCCCCUUGAAGACCCUGGAGGACUUCAGUGUCCGCACUCUCUAUGACAAGCUCGAGGACCAGAGCCUACACGUGGCCGCCCAGCUGAGCAAACACAGGAGCGAGGCACUGGCCUUCUAUAGGGGUGCCAGCCAGCAGCUCCAGGGGCUCAAGGACUUUCUCCAACACCUCAGCACAACUGAGUGGCAAGCUCUGGACAAGGGUGGAGACCCAGAGAUGGAGGCCACAGCUGCCACCAGGACAGACACUGAGCAGAGUGUGGAAUCAUGGGGCCACCACACUGCAAGUCUACCUAGGGAGCCCUGGCAGCAUCCUCUAGGCCGCACCCCCAGUGUCACACCCCUGGGCUUUCAGCUGGAACUUGACAGAGUGAUUGUGGCACUGGCAUCAGCACUUUCUCACGCACACAGGCAACCAGCUGGGGCCAACAGAAAGGCCUCUGUUCAGGUUGGUGAACAGCCUCUUCGUACCUACCAACAAAACCCUCAACUGGCAAGUAACAUGUCCCUGCAGCCACAGCCUCCACCACCGGAUGAGGAGAACCAAAGUACAAGGUGGGGACAGGCAUCAGCACCAAAGCUUACACACAGCAGCUAUAUUCUUUGGGUGUGGCCCUUAGCAUCUAGUACUGAGAAUCUUAUCUUCCAUAACCAACACCUCAUUUAA
ensembl:lncRNA